CCUACGGGUGGCAGCAGUGAGGAAUAUUGGUCAAUGGACGAGAGUCUGAACCAGCCAAGUAGCGUGAAGGAUGACUGCCCUAUGGGUUGUAAACUUCUUUUAUAUGGGAAUAAAAUGUUCCACGUGUGGGCUUUUGUAUGUACCAUAUAAAUAAGGAUCGGCUAACUACGUUCCAGCAGCCGCGGUAAUCAGGGGGAUCCGAGCGUUAUCCGGAUUUAUUGGGUUUAAAGGGAGCGUAGGUGGAGUGUUAAGUCAGCGGUAAAAGUUUGGGGCUCAACCCUAUCGUGGCGUUUGAAACUGGGCCCUUGAGUGAGUGAGAAGUAAGCGGAAUGCGUGGUGUAGCGGUGAAAUGCAGAGAUAUGACGCAGAACGCCGAUUGCGAAGGCAGCUUACCGGCGCUCAACUGACGCUGAGGCACGAAAGUGCGGGUAUCGAACAGGAUUAGAUACCCUUGUAGUC
rnacentral:rRNA from 1 species